rnacentral:rRNA from 1 species
CAGAGUAUCACGCACCCGACGACCCGCACCCGGUCACCGAGCGCGAGGGCGCCCGAGCCGAGGCGGGCGGCGACGUGGUGCACCAUGUUGCCGCCUGCGGAGUCGCCGCAGACGAACACCCGGCCGAAGUCGGCGCACUCGGCGAGCCAGGCGUCGGUGCCGGCGGCCGCCUGGUCGCGGAGCCACGAGAGGACGGUCUCGGCGUCCCGGUGCGCGGCGGGGAGGCGGUGCUCCGGGGCGAGCCGGUAG